ACUUGAGUAAUUUAAUGAAAAUAUUAAUUUGUGGGAUUAAAGAUGUAGUUAUUAUACUAUUUCAAGUA
rnacentral:tRNA from 1 species